GACGAACGCUGGCGGCGUGCUUAACACAUGCAAGUCGAACGGAAAGGCCCUGCUUUUGUGGGGUGCUCGAGUGGCGAACGGGUGAGUAACACGUGAGUAACCUGCCCUUGACUUUGGGAUAACUUCAGGAAACUGGGGCUAAUACCGGAUAGGAGCUCCUGCUGCAUGGUGGGGGUUGGAAAGUUUCGGCGGUUGGGGAUGGACUCGCGGCUUAUCAGCUUGUUGGUGGGGUAGUGGCUUACCAAGGCUUCGACGGGUAGCCGGCCUGAGAGGGUGACCGGCCACAUUGGGACUGAGAUACGGCCCAGACGCCUACGGGAGGCAGCAGUGGGGAAUAUUGCACAAUGGGCGGAAGCCUGAUGCGGCGACGCCGCGUGCGGGAUGACGGCCUUCGGGUUGUAAACCGCUUUCGCCUGUGACGAAGCGUGAGUGACGGUAAUGGGUAAAGAAGCACCGGCUAACUACGUG
rnacentral:rRNA from 1 species